GAUGAAGAACGUAGCGAAAUGCGAUACUUGGUGUGAAUUGCAGAAUCCCGUGAACCAUCGAGUCUUUGAACGCAAGUUGCGCCCGAAGCCAUUAGGCCGAGGGCACGCCUGCCUGGGCGUCACACGUCGUUGCCCCCCCAUCUACUCCUUCGGGAUUGCGGGGGGCGGAUGAUGGCUCCCGUGCGCCUCGUCGCGCGGUUGGCAUAAAUGCCAAGUCCUCGGCGACGCACGCCACGACAAUCGGUGGUUGCGAAACCUCGGUUGCCCGUCGUGUGCGGUCGUCGCGCAUCGAGGGCUCGAAAAAAUUGCCGGGCUCCGGCUCGGCUUUCAACGCGACCCCAGGUCAGGCGGGGUUACCCGCUGAAUUUAAGCAUAUCAAUAAGCGGAGGA
rnacentral:misc_RNA from 1 species